CAAUCUACACACCGCAUUUUGGUCCGACUCUCCUUCACCACAAGAGAACCGUUACACCUCCAGAGUACCCACUCUAUCGCCUUCUGUAGGGACGGGAGCCGCAGCUGUUUACUGAGGAAAACAAUGCAAUUUUGUGUGAGCCUGAAUAUGGACAAGGUGCAGGAGAAACCGAAGGAAAACCACCAGAGGAAAAUCAAGAAGGGGACCAAGUGCUUCGACAUCCGGUCAAAUUACUUGGCUUGGAAGAAGGAUGAAAGGAAGGCGAGACCUUGCUGCUCUUUCGCUCCUAGCUGGGGUCACUAUCCGUUCAGGUGUAUAUAAACAAUCUUAGAUGAUAACUAUUCGCAUUUGCCUCGUUUGUGGGUGGCAUCGCCAUGUUGUCAGGAGUACCAACACUGGCCCAAGAGUUUCUCCAAAUAGUAAAUCUCAAAGCUAACCACUGGGUCACGUUAAGUAACCUCUGCUUCCAGGGACCAUCCCUCACCUCCCUCAUCAACCCUACUGACAAAGAAAAUACAGACAGG